rnacentral:misc_RNA from 1 species
UUUCCGUAGGUGAACCUGCGGAAGGAUCAUUAUCGUAAAACCGAGGUGCGAGGGCUGUCGCUGACCUUUUCGGUCGUGCACGCCCGAGCGCUCUCACACAAUCCAUCUCACCUCUUGUGCACCACCGCGUGGGUCCCUUUCUGGCUCGUCCGGAGGGGGGCUCGCGUUUUCACACAAACUUGAAGUAGUGUAGAAUGUCCUUUUUUUGCGAUAACACGCAAUCAAUACAACUUUCAACAACGGAUCUCUUGGCUCUC